UUGGACAAUGGGCGCAAGCCUGAUGCAGCAAUGCCGCGUGCAGGAUGAAGGCCUUCGGGUUGUAAACUGCUUUUGUACGGAACGAAACGGCGAGCUCUAAUAAAGUUUGCUAAUGACGGUACCGUAAGAAUAAGCACCGGCUAACUACGUGCCAGCAGCCGCGGUAAUACGUAGGGUGCAAGCGUUAAUCGGAAUUACUGGGCGUAAAGCGUGCGCAGGCGGUUAUAUAAGACAGAUGUGAAAUCCCCGGGCUCAACCUGGGACCUGCAUUUGUGACUGUAUAGCUAGAGUACGGUAGAGGGGGAUGGAAUUCCGCGUGUAGCAGUGAAAUGCGUAGAUAUGCGGAGGAACACCGAUGGCGAAGGCAAUCCCCUGGACCUGUACUGACGCUCAUGCACGAAAGCGUGGGGAGCAAACAGGAUUAGAUACCCUGGUAGUCCACGCCCUAAACGAUGUCAACUGGUUGUUGGGUCUUCACUGACUCAGUAACGAAGCUAACGCGUGAAGUUGACCGCCUGGGGAGUACGGCCGCAAGGUUGAAACUCAAAUGAAUUGACGG
rnacentral:rRNA from 1 species